rnacentral:rRNA from 1 species
AUAUCAAUAAGCGGAGGAAAAGAAACCAACAGGGAUUGCCCCAGUAACGGCGAGUGAAGCGGCAACAGCUCAAAUUUGAAAUCUGGCCCCGUCCGCGGGGUCCGAGUUGUAAUUUGCAGAGGAUGCUUUCGGCGAGGCGCCUUCCGAGUGCCCUGGAACGGGCCGCCGCAGAGGGUGAGAGCCCCGUACGGUCGGACGCCGAGCCGGUGUAAAGCUCCCUCGACGAGUCGAGUAGUUUGGGAAUGCUGCUCUAAACGGGAGGUAAACCCCUUCUAAAGCUAAAUACCGGCCAGAGACCGAUAGCGCACAAGUAGAGUGAUCGAAAGAUGAAAAGCACUUUGAAAAGAGAGUCAAACAGCACGUGAAAUUGUUGAAAGGGAAGCGCUUGUGGCCAGACUUGCGCCCCGGCGGCUCAGCCGUCCCUCGUGGGCGGUGCACUCCGCCGGGCGCAGGCCAGCAUCAGCUCGUGGCGGGGGAGAAAGGCGGCGGGAACGUGGCUCUUCGGAGUGUUAUAGCCCGCCGCUACGCCCCACCGCGGGCUGAGGUACGCGCUCCGCAAGGAUGCUGGCGUAAUGGCCAUCAGCGACCCGUCUUGAAACACGGACCAAGGAGUCGUCCUAGCAUGCGAGUGUUAGGGUGCAAAACCCCUACGCGAAAUGAAAGUGAACGGAGGUGAGAGCUUCGGCGCAUCAUCGACCGAUCCUGAUGUUCUCGGAUGGAUUUGAGUAGGAGCAUGCUGGGCCGGACCCGAAAGAAAGUGAACUAUGCUUGGAUAGGGCAAAGCCAGAGGAAACUCUGGUGGAGGCUCGCAGCGGUUCUGACGUGCAAAUCGAUCGUCAAAUCUGAGCAUGGGGGCGAAAGACUAAUCGAACUUUCUAGUAGCUGGUUUCCGC